CCUACGUGGGGCAGCAGUGGGGAAUAUUGGACAAUGGGCGAAAGCCUGAUCCAGCCAUGCCGCGUGUGUGAAGAAGGCCUUCGGGUUGUAAAGCACUUUCAGUGGGGAAGAAAGCCUUGGGGCUAAUACCCUCGAGGAAGGACAUCACCCACAGAAGAAGCACCGGCUAACUCCGUGCCAGCAGCCGCGGUAAUACGGAGGGUGCGAGCGUUAAUCGGAAUUACUGGGCGUAAAGCGCGCGUAGGCGGUCUGAUAAGCCGGUUGUGAAAGCCCCGGGCUCAACCUGGGAACGGCAUCCGGAACUGUCAGGCUAGAGUGCAGGAGAGGAAGGUAGAAUUCCCGGUGUGGCGGUGAAAUGCGUAGAGAUCGGGAGGAAUACCAGUGGCGAAGGCGGCCUUCUGGACUGACACUGACGCUGAGGUGCGAAAGCGUGGGUAGCAAACAGGAUUAGAUACCCUAGUAGUC
rnacentral:rRNA from 1 species